rnacentral:rRNA from 1 species
CGGGACGGGUGAGUAACGCGUGGGUAACCUGCCAUAUACAGGGGGAUAACAGCGAGAAAUUGCUGCUAAAACCGCAUAAGCGCACGGAGUCGCAUGACUCAGUGCGAAAAACUCCGGUGGUAUAUGAUGGACCCGCGUCUGAUUAGCCAGUUGGCAGGGUAACGGCCUACCAAAGCGACGAUCAGUAGCCGGCCUGAGAGGGUGGACGGCCACAUUGGGACUGAGACACGGCCCAAACUCCUACGGGAGGCAGCAG